rnacentral:rRNA from 1 species
CAAUAGCGUAUAUUAAAGUUGUUGCGGUUAAAAGCUCGUAGUUGGAUUUCUGCUGAGGACGAUCGGUCCGCCCACUGGGUGAGUAUCUGGCUCGGCCUUGGCAUCUUCUUGGAGAACGUUGCUGCACUUGACUGUGUGGUGCGGUAUCCAGGACUUUUACUUUGAGGAAAUUAGAGUGUUUCAAGCAGGCGCACGCCUUGAAUACAUUAGCAUGGAAUAAUAAGAUAGGACCUUAGUUCUAUUUUGUUGGUUUCUAGAGCUGAGGUAAUGAUUAAUAGGGAUAGUUGGGGGCAUUCGUAUUUAACUGUCAGAGGUGAAAUUCUUGGAUUUGUCAAAGACGGACUACUGCGAAAGCAUUUGCCAAGGAUGUUUUCAUUGA